GUGAACUGUUCUUCCUGAAGACCUUGGAUUCGCCCAUCCCUGUCACUCUGUGGUCCCUGCCUCCACCCUUUCUCAGGACGUCAUCACCUCCUACCUGGGCCACUGAAAUAGCACCCCCAUGAUCUCUGGAAUCCACUCUUCUGCCCCCAUUCCAUUGUCCACAACGAAGCCAGAGGGACUUUUCCCAACCACAAACCUGACGGAAUCACCUUCUGGCUGAAAACCACCUGUCACUUCCCUUCACACUGAGGAUAAGGUCAAACCGCCUGUUUUCAUGUCCUUGGACACAUCCAGCUCCUUCAGACCUCAGGACCUUUGCACGUGCUCACAUCUUUGCCAGGAAGGCUCUUCAACUCCGAUUUCACCCCUCCACACCAUCUAUAGUUAUUUGCAACUCAUCUUAGCAUCUCAGCCUUCUCUGAGCCCACAGCUAGAUCAGGUCCCCUUCAUUGUACUUUCGUUCUUGCCUUUACGUCACUUAUUCCCAUCUGUAAUGACAUAUUUGGGUAAUUAUUUCAAUAUUGCUGAUCAACCUUCCUACCCCACAAGGACAGGGAUUAUGGCUUUUUCCUCCCUACUUCAGCCAACAUUCUACACAGUGCCCAAAGAGGGGCCCAAGGAAUAUUUGGAGAUUUUAUGUGACAAAAGAAAUGUUGAUAUUCUCAAUAUCCUUUAUAUAUGUGAUAUUAAAACACCAGUAGAAAUUUUUUUUUAAUUUCAACAGACAAAAGAUUGCAAACAUUCAGAAAGAUUUACAAAUAGCUAAUCAACCUUAUUAGGAACAAAAAUGUAAACUAACUAUAACAAAAUACCUCUUCAAUAUACUAAUUUGUUAAACUUUAAAAAGGUAAUAGGAGGCCGGGCACUGUGCCUCAUACCUGUAAUCCCAGCACUUUGGCAGACUGAGGUGGGAGGCUCCCUUGAGCCCAGGAGGUCAAGGCUGCAAUGAGCCUUGAUUGUAUGACUGCACUCCAGCUUGGGUGACAAAGCAAUACAAAAGUCUCAAAA
rnacentral:lncRNA from 1 species